rnacentral:rRNA from 1 species
CCUGAUGGAGGGGGAUAACUACUGGAAACGGUAGCUAAUACCGCAUAACGUCGCAAGACCAAAGAGGGGGACCUUCGGGCCUCUUGCCAUCGGAUGUGCCCAGAUGGGAUUAGCUAGUAGGUGGGGUAACGGCUCACCUAGGCGACGAUCCCUAGCUGGUCUGAGAGGAUGACCAGCCACACUGGAACUGAGACACGGUCCAGACUCCUACGGGAGGCAGCAGUGGGGAAUAUUGCACAAUGGGCGCAAGCCUGAUGCAGCCAUGCCGCGUGUAUGAAGAAGGCCUUCGGGUUGUAAAGUACUUUCAGCGGGGAGGAAGGGAGUAAAGUUAAUACCUUUGCUCAUUGACGUUACCCGCAGAAGAAGCACCGGCUAACUCCGUGCCAGCAGCCGCGGUAAUACGGAGGGUGCAAGCGUUAAUCGGAAUUACUGGGCGUAAAGCGCACGCAGGCGGUUUGUUAAGUCAG